UGAGGAUGUAUGUCUUCUUCAAAUGGGAUAGUUCCCUUGACCCCUUUGCAGAACUUGCAAAGAUGUUCACCUGUUUACUCAGCCUGCAGCUCUCAACCCCUUGUGGGAUGGGGGAGCACACAGCAGCCAUCUGAAAAUCAUGAGGAAAUGAUCAAAAGAACCCCAGAGAUUUCAGUCCUGACUGCACAGAGCCACUGGAUCAGCAACAGCAGUAAUCGCCCACCUCGACUUCCUGUUAAGUUAGAAAAAUAAAUCUUGAUUUGUUUAGA